AGUGUGCUGCCUGUGGAGGCUCAAUGCUGGAGGAUUUGGAGUCACCUUUGAACUUUUUUUACUUAGAAAAUAAUGAAAAUCGGAAAUCGGCCUAGAAAGUUGUAAUCGGUGCAUCUCUAAUUAUUAUCAUUACUAUUAUUUCUGAUAUAGAAAUGUAGGGUUGAAGCACCUUCUUUGGUUUUCAAAGCUCAUCAGGGAUUUAUAUCGCUAAAUAAAAACGGAUGCUCCGAUCUCCUGAUAGUACACGAACUAGGGCUAAUAGAGAGCACGCUACACGCUCGUCAUCAGCGCUGCUCGCAGCUUUAAUGUGUCUUCCCUGGCCUCCUGUCUUCGCUGGGUGUACUGGAGCUCCACUAAGUCGGGGCUCGCGUCUGCUGCUGGAUCCUUAAAGUAGAGUGUGGCAGUGUCUUCCCCCUGCUGGCCCGUCCGUCGGGCCCUGUGCUCGGUCACCUCUUUGGGCUGCUCCUGGCGGCAGCGGUUGCUGUUCCACCAAGCCUCCAGCCCGGCCACGAGGCAGGCCAGCAGCAGGCCGGCAGCCAGGAUGCAGAAGACGCCGGCGAAGCUGUGCAGCUUGAGGGAGCGUCCGUCGGGGUGGGCGCUGCCGUGGCUGUCGAGGUCGCAGCGGCCGGUGCGAGGCCACCACUUCUGCUUCAUGAUGUCCAGGUCACCUUUCUCCUGAAGCUCCAGGAUCCUGAGGGGCAGAAGAGAUGAACAGAUAAUCUGGGUGACCUGAAGCUCCUGUGUGAUGAGGUGUUCCUCGACCCACCAGAAACUAUGAGAAACCACCAGGAAAGCUAAUUAAAGCUGGACAGGUGGCAUGCUUCAGCCCAACGAUGAUCUGAAGACAACAAAGCGGCCAGCAGCAUCAGGACAGUCUCCAAAGGAAAAUGCAUCGGGAAGCUGCAUUACCAGCCGACACAACUUCUGUAUACAAGAAACCCUUUACUGUGAUGUAGGACUCAUCUGGAUAGCUCAGCAAUACUGGGUUUGACACGCAGAGAUGGGGAUCAAACCACCUACCUUCUGCAUGGUACCACCUGAGCCACAGCCUACUUUGUGCAUUGUAUGUACUCCGUUUCAUUGACUAUGAAUAAAGUGCUCUAUUUUGGUCAUUGAUUUUAUUUAGGCCCCUUUGGUGUCAGAAGUAUAAAUAAUAAAGACUUUGUGGUUACA